rnacentral:tRNA from 3 species
GCUCCCAUCGUCUAGCGGUUAGGACGUCGCCCUCUCACGGCGAAAACUGGGGUUCGAUUCCCCAUGGGAGCG